rnacentral:rRNA from 1 species
GAUGAACGCUGGCGGCGUGCCUAACACAUGCAAGUCGAGCGAGAAAUAAAGAUAUUAAUCUUCGGAAGCGUAUCUUUAUGGAAAGCGGCGGACGGGUGAGUAACGCGUAGGCAACCUGCCCUAUACAGGGGGAUAGCCACGGGAAACCGUGAUUAAUACCUCAUAACACUGACGAGUCACAUGUCUUGUUAGUCAAAGAUUUAUCGGUAUAGGAUGGGCCUGCGUCUGAUUAGUUAGUUGGUGAGGUAACGGCUCACCAAGGCGACGAUCAGUAGCCGACCUGAGAGGGUAAUCGGCCACAUUGGAACUGAGACACGGUCCAAACUCCUACGGGAGGCAGCAGUGGGGAAUAUUGCACAAUGGGCGCAAGCCUGAUGCAGCAACGCCGCGUGAGCGAAGAAGGCCUUUGGGUCGUAAAGCUCUGUCUUAGGGGAAGAAAAAAAUGACGGUACCCUUGGAGGAAGCCCCGGCUAACUACGUGCCAGCAGCCGCCGU